UACGGGGGGGAGCAAGCGUUGUUCGGAUUUACUGGGCGUAAAGGGCGCGUAGGCGGUAGCACAAGUCAGUUGUGAAAUCUCCGGGCUUAACUCGGAAAGGUCAACUGAUACUGUGCGACUAGAGUGCAGAAGGGGCAACUGGAAUUCUCGGUGUAGCGGUGAAAUGCGUAGAUAUCAGGAGGAACACCUGUGGUGUAGACGGCUUACUGGACCGCAACUGACGCUGAAACACGAAAGCGUGGGUAGCAAACAGG
rnacentral:rRNA from 1 species